AGGUGUUAUAUAGCAAAGAAACCCUUUCAUCUCUUUUUUGGUCAGAAGUUGCAACGUUGUGGUUUGUGAGAUUUGUUCUUCAACUGUUGGCUGAGAGUGCGAUCAAAACAUUCCUCAAACCACUUGGAAGCUCUCGAGGACCAAACACACCUAAAAGCUCUUUUGAACACAAACUUCAGUAAUAUCGAUCAAUGGCUCCCUCGUCUGGAGGUAAUUUCUUGUGGAUGAAAAUUAUUAAUGGCAUGAGCAAAGUUGGAAAGAUGGGGGUAUUGAAAAGAGAGUUGAUAUUGUUUCAAUUCCAUUUCAAGCUAUGAACCCAAGGCACUUCAGCAUAUACUAUGGUUCAUUGACACUCCAACUGUACUUUUUCUUUAACAAACAUUAUUGAGUAGUACACAUUAUUAAACCAGCUUUGGCAUGUUUUAGACGUGGAUGUUGUUAUAAUAAACAUUUAUUUGUCAUCCCUCUGUUUACAUAUUACACUUGUGCGUACCAUUUUCCUAUAUUAUUUAGGCACUCAAUGUACUUGAUACUAUAAGUUUCACUCACAUGUCCAACAUAUUAUUAAAUAUAUGUGAGCCUUAGUUACUUCAUUCCUUAACAUUAGCUAAUUACUUUCUUAAUGUCAUGCAGUUCGUUUGGCAAUGAUAUGAUCAAUAAGUGGCAUUGCAUGGGGUACGUCCAUUAAACAUACUCAAUUGUGCAUAGAAUUGAGCAAGCUAUUAGGUACUACCUUAGCACAUCGUGUUUUAUUCCAGUGAUCAGUUGGUUAACCUUUUGUCUACUGUUGAGUGAACCUUAUGUACUACUUAAAUAUACCUUUGGUACUACCUUAAUCAACUUUAGCUACUACCUUAGUCAACAUUAGGUACUAUCUUAGCACACCUUGGGUACUACCUGUGUGACACCUCGAAACUGUAUUUCUAAACAUUAAGACACUUCAUUUGUGAAUAUUAGUUCCCUUAUUUUUCAACCCAAGGGAGUUGAUUUGUCAAGCAUAGGACCCACAAGCUGCUUUCAAUCCAUGCAUAACUUACAAUGUAUUCGGUUCCACACUCAACUAAUCAUGGC